rnacentral:rRNA from 1 species
AUUGAACGCUGGCGGAAUGCUUUACACAUGCAAGUCGAACGGCAGCACGGGGCAACCUGGUGGCGAGUGGCGAACGGGUGAGUAAUACAUCGGAACGUGCCCAGUCGUGGGGGAUAACGUAGCGAAAGUUACGCUAAUACCGCAUACGAUCUAUGGAUGAAAGCGGGGGAUCGCAAGACCUCGCGCGAUUGGAGCGGCCGAUGUCAGAUUAGGUAGUUGGUGGGGUAAAGGCCCACCAAGCCAACGAUCUGUAGCUGGUCUGAGAGGACGACCAGCCACACUGGAACUGAGACACGGUCCAGACUCCUACGGGAGGCAGCAGUGGGGAAUUUUGGACAAUGGGCGCAAGCCUGAUCCAGCAAUGCCGCGUGCAGGAUGAAGGCCUUCGGGUUGUAAACUGCUUUUGUACGGAACGAAAAGGCUCUGGUUAAUACCUGGGGCUCAUGACGGUACCGUAAGAAUAAGCACCGGCUAACUACGUG